rnacentral:rRNA from 1 species
GACGAACGCUGGCGGCGUGCUUAACACAUGCAAGUCGAACGAAGAGCGAUGGAAGCUUGCUUCUAUCAAUCUUAGUGGCGCACGGGUGAGUAACGCGUAAUCAACCUGCCCUUCAGAGGGGGACAACAGUUGGAAACGACUGCUAAUACCGCAUACGAUCUAACCUCGGCAUCGAGGAUAGAUGAAAGGUGGCCUCUACAUGUAAGCUAUCACUGAAGGAGGGGAUUGCGUCUGAUUAGCUAGUUGGAGGGGUAACGGCCCACCAAGGCGAUGAUCAGUAGCCGGUCGGAGAGGAUGAACGGCCACAUUGGGACUGAGACACGGCCCAGACUCCUACGGGAGGCAGCAGUGGGGAAUCUUCCGCAAUGGACGAAAGUCUGACGGAGCAACGCCGCGUGAGUGAUGACGGCCUUCGGGUUGUAAAGCUCUGUUAAUCGGGACGAAAGGCCUUCUUGCGAAUAGUGAGAAGGAUUGACGGUACCGGAAUAGAAAGCCACGGCUAACUACGUG